rnacentral:rRNA from 1 species
CCUACGGGGGGCUGCAGUCGAGGAUCUUCGGCAAUGAGCGCAAGCUUGACCGAGCGACGCCGCGUGUGCGACGAAGGCCUUCGGGUUGUAAAGCACAAAGGCAUCAAGGAAAGGCAACUUGACCGAGAUGCAGUAAGCACGGGCUAAGUUCGUGCCAGCAGCCGCGGUAAGACGAACCGUGCGAACGUUGUUCGGAAUCACUGGGUUUAAAGGGCGCGUAGGCGGCCGCACACGUCUGGGGUGAAAGCCUCCCGCUCAACGGGAGAACGGCCUCG